GCCUAAAGCGUCCGUAGCCGGCUCUGUAAGUUUUCGGUUAAAUCCAUAUGCUCAACAUAUGGGCCGCCGGGAAUACUGCAUAGCUAGGGAGUGGGAGAGGUAGACGGUACUCCGUAGGAAGGGGUAAAAUCCUUUGAUCUAUGGAUGACCACCUGUGGCGAAGGCGGUCUACCAGAACACGUCUGACGGUGAGGGAUGAAAGCUGGGGGAGCAAACCGGAUUAGAUACCCGGGUAGUCCCAGCUGUAAACGAUGCAAACUCAGUGAUGCAUUGGCUUGUGGCCAGUGCAGUGCCGCAGGGAAGCCGUUAAGUUUGCCGCCUGGGAAGUACGUACGCAAGUAUGAAACUUAAAGGAAUUGGCGGGGGAGCACCACAAGGGGUGAAGCCUGCGGUUCAAUUGGAGUCAACGCCAGAAAUCUUACCCGGAGAGACAGCAGAAUGAAGGUCAAGUUGAAGCCUUUACCAGACAAGCUGAGAAGUGGUGCAUGGCCGUCGCCAGCUCGUGCCGUGAGGUGUCCUGUUAAGUCAGGUAACGAGCGAGAUCCUUGCCUCUAGUUGCUACCAUUACUCUCAGGAGUAGUGGAGCGAAUUAGCGGGACUGCCGUAGUUAAUACGGAGGAAGGAGAGGGCCACGGCAGGUCAGUAUGCCCCGAA
rnacentral:rRNA from 1 species